CCACAAUGUUGUGUAAGGAAAAACGAUUAUUCUGAGCACAUUUUCCAAUUUCAAGUCUGGAUUCUCUACAUCCUUUAAUCACAAUGUCAUAUAUGUUAAUAGAAUAGCAGUGUGUCAUAUGAAUCUCAAUUUUUUGAACAAGAAAAUGAAUUUGGGGAUUUAAAUGAACAAAGUGAAGAUAUUGCUGAAAAUUAUGACAAGCACCAAGAGUUAACCACCAAAACACAGGAUUCUGAAGAUAUUUUUACCAAGCAAUCUAUCUCUAUGAUUACAGAGGAAUCUAAACAACCAUGUCAACAUAGUCAAAGUCAUUUGUCACCCACUGGCCACUAUACUGGGCUAUUGUUACAGUUUGACUUUGCAUCAAAUGUAUCACGUCAGCAAUCCUUUGUUGUUCAUGAUUAUAAUGCAAACAAAAGAGCAAUUAUGGUGAUGUCAAAUUUUAUUUCCAUAAUUUCAAUGUUGGGUAUAUACCCAACUAAAUGAUAUUACUCAAUACUCUUUUUUUGGUACUAUAACCUGCAUGUAUUUUUUUCUUUUGCAUAAUUCAUUUGUAUUUGUUCAUCGAUAUCCCCACCUAUUGCUUGAUGGCUACGGUUGGAUAUUGUGCUGCUCAUGUGAUGCAAAUAGAAAGCAAUUUGUUGAAGCCCUACCUAAUAAUAUACAAUUAGAUCCUCAAAAAGAUAUACCAUAUCCCAGUUGCAUACACAUAUUAGCAAUGGAAAAAUAUCUGGUUGUGUAUGAUAGAAAGUUUGGUAUUGAAGCCAAAGAUUUUAUUGAAAAAAAAUCCACAUCCAUGAUGCAGUCUGUUUUCAGUGAUCAUUCCUACCAUGAGAUGCAACCUGAAGAAGACUUGUUUAGUGCAGUGUGCAGGAGGUUCAGUGGAUUGCUGUAAAACCAGUGAAUAGUCCAUGGGGGGUUUGUACUUUUGUGUAUUCAAAAGUAACGCCGCCCCAGCCCGAGUUAAAAUGUUGCAGCUGUUCGUCAUAUCAUUGCAUUCAUGUGACAACCCUUGCAAAAGCCAUGCAAAUCGUUGAAGAGGAUGAAAUGGAUUCUCCAUUGGCACUUUUUAAGUGUUCCUUUGGAAUUACACCAGAGAUGCGAGACUAUUUUGAAUUGGCUACACUUAGCAAAGAAAAGGUUUCUUUAUUUGAAACAGGCAAUGAGAAUGAUGCAAGCGAUUUUACUGAUCUUCCUGAAAAAAAUGGUCAUAAAAUUUUGGCGCCAUCUGAAAGUGGUAUUUGUUUUGUGGUGCAGAGUGGGAUAAACGUUCUAUUCAAGAUGAAUGGUUGUACGUAGACGUGUGUUCAGUUGCGUACUUUUAUUCAAUCCAUGAUGUAAAAGUGUAUUGUAGACCUUGCUCCUCUUGUGCUACGAAAAAGCAUUAUGAUGGCAUUGAAAACAGGAUUGUAUGGUUUGGAUCAUAUGCAAUAUCUCAUGCCGUUCUAAAAGAUUACAUUCGGCUUUUCAUAACGUCGAGUUUACCUAUGUACAAAUAUUAUGUUGCGUAUGUACAAAGGCAAGUGUCUUCGGGUAAUUUUAAUUUCCCAAAGGAAAUAACUUACGCCAAGUUUCGUCUCGCUAUCAUUGCCAUGAUACGGUUGCUUAAUAUUGAUUUUGACAAUGGGUUUUUUUGUGAAUUAUGUGGAAGAAUUCCCAAAAGGUAGUGAUGGAUGGAACAACUCUUGGAAUACAGAAAACUUUCUUACCAAAUAAUUUAAGAGAGUCUGAUACUGGAUUGCUAGAUGGAAGA